rnacentral:rRNA from 1 species
AUGAACGCUGGCGGCGUGGGGUAAGGCAUGCAAGUCGGACGAUUUCCUUUUUUUGAAGAAGAUGCGAUUACAUCAAGUCAACUGAUAUUUUGGAGAUACUGGCGAACGAGCUAGUAACACCUUGGUACGUACCCAAAAGUUUGGUAUAGCUCGCCGAAAGGCGGGGUAAUCCCAAAUAAUCCCUCUAUCUAUCGGAUAGAAGGGUAAAGUCGCAAGACGCUUUUGGAGCGGCCUAGGACCGAUCAGUUAGUUGGUGAGGUAAUGGCUCACCAAGACGAUGACCGGUAGGGG